rnacentral:rRNA from 1 species
ACUCCUACGGGAGGCAGCAGUGGGGAAUAUUGCACAAUGGGCGCAAGCCUGAUGCAGCCAUGCCGCGUGUAUGAAGAAGGCCUUCGGGUUGUAAAGUACUUUCAGCAGUGAGGAAGGUGGGUAUGUUAAUAGCAUACUCAUUUGUACGUUAGCUGCAGAAGAAGCACCGGCUAACUCCGUGCCAGCAGCCGCGGUAAUACGGAGGGUGCGAGCGUUAAUCGGAAUUACUGGGCGUAAAGCGCAUGCAGGUGGUUUGUUAAGUCAGAUGUGAAGCCCGGGGCUCAACCUCGGAAUUGCAUUUGAAACUGGCAAACUAGAGUACUGUAGAGGGGGUAGAAUUUCAGGUGUAGCGGUGAAAUGCGUAGAGAUCUGAAGGAUACCGGUGGCGAAGGCGGCCCCUGGACAGAUACUGACACUCAGAUGCGAAA